GACGAACGCUGGCGGCGUGCUUAACACAUGCAAGUCGAACGGAAAGGCCCUGCUUUUGUUGCUCGCUUGAGUGGCGAACGGGUGAGUAACACGUGAGUAACCCGUCCCUUACUGUGGGAUAACUUCAGGAAACUCGGGCGCAUACCGGAUAUGAUCUCCUGCUGCAUGUUGUUGGAUGGAAAGUGUCGGUGUUUGGGGAUGGACUCGCUGCUUACCAGCUUGUUGGGGGGGUAGUUGCUUACCAAGGCUUUGACGGGUAGCCGGCCUGAGAGGGGGACCGGCCACAUUGGGACUGAGAUAGGCCCCAGACUCCAACGGGCGGCAGCGGUGGGAAGUAUGGCACAAUGGGCGGAGGCCUGAGGCGGAAAGGCGCGGUGCGGAAUACCGGCCUUCGGGUGUAAAACAGCUUUCGCAGGUGCCGAGCAGUGCGUGACGGUAAUGGGUCAAGAAGCACCGGCUAACUACGUG
rnacentral:rRNA from 1 species